UACGUAGGGACCGAGCGUUGUCCGGAAUCAUUGGGCGUAAAGAGCGUGUAGGCGGCCACUUAAGUCCUGCGUGAAAUCUUGCGGCUCAACCGCAAGCGGUCGUGGGAAACUGGGUGGCUAGAGUGCGGGAGAGGAGAGUGGAAUUCCUGGUGUAGCGGUGGAAUGCGCAGAUAUCAGGAAGAACACCCGUGGCGAAGGCGGCUCACUGGACCACAACUGACGCUGAGGCGCGAAAGCUAGGGGAGCAAACAGG
rnacentral:rRNA from 1 species